rnacentral:siRNA from 1 species
GACAUGCCUUCAAAUCUUGGUA